AUGGAUGCGGCGGCAAGGAAGGAAGAAAGGGAGGAGGUUAAGAGUGCCUUGUUCAGUAUUGGGGACUUGAAGGCACCCAGUCCAGAUGGACUACACGUAAUUUUUUAUAAGAAAUUCUGGCCAAUGUUGGGCGAUGAAUUAGUACAAGAAGUGUUGCAGGCAGUAAACACGGGAAUCAUUCCUGAAGGGUGGAACAUGACCACUAUUGUGCUCAUACCAAAGGUUGAGAACCCGGAGACGAUUGCUCAGUUUAGACCCAUAAGUCUCUGUAACGUUGUCUAUAAAGUGAUAUAAAAAAUGCUAGCGGCAAGGUUGAAACUACUACUUCCAGAUAUCAUCAGUGAAACCCAAAGUACUUUUGUGCCUGGAAGGAUUAUUACUGAUAAUGUUAUUGUUGCGUAUGAGUGCCUUCAUACAAUGAAGAAGAGGAAAACAGGGAAGCAAGGGACAUGUGCGGUGAAGCUGGACAUGCACAAAGCAUACGAUAGAGUGGAGUGGGUGUUUUUAGAGGCAAUUCUUGGGAAACUUGGCUUUGAUGCAAGAUGGAUAAAAUUGGUAAUGGCAUGUGUGACUUCAGUGCAGUAUAAGGUAAGGUUCAAUUUUCAAAUGACCUUGCCAUUCUCACCAACCAGAGGGCUUCGGCAGGGGCCCCCCCCCUCUCCUUACUUGUUUCUGUUGUAUGCGGAAGGUCUAUCUGCACUCAUUUGUCAUGAGGAGAGCCUUGGGAAUUUACAAGGAGUUCAGGUGUGCGCUGACUCCCCUCAUAUCUCAUAUUUAUUAUUUGCUGACGACUCCCUCAUCUUGAUGAAAGCUGAUUGUAUGAAUGCUCAAACCUUGAGAAGAAUUCUGGAUGACUAUUAUGCAGCAUCAAGCCAAAUGGUGAGUGAGGCCAAGUGUUCUAUAUUUUUCAGCCCCAAUACAGAGGUGGAAACAAAAGCCGAUGUGUGCCAAAUAUUGAAUAUAAUGACUGAGUUGUUGUUUGACAAAUACUUGGGGCUUCCAUCUAUGAUUGGAGUGGACAAGGUAAAUUGUUUCAAACAUCUAAUUGAAAGAAUACAGAAAAUGGUGAAUGGGUGGAAGGAGAGAACUUUAUCCUAUGAUGGAAAAGAAGCACUAAUUAAAGCGGUGGCCCAAGCCAUCCCUACAUAUGCGACAAGUGUAUUUAAAUUCCCGAAGAAAAUUUGCAAGGGGAUCACUGAUGCAAUGUCGCAGUAUUGACGGGGUGACGAGGACGGCCAUAAAAGGAUGCAUUGGUUUGCUUGGUGGAGAAUGUGUAUUCCGAAGGAAAAAGGGGGUAUGGGGUUCUGA
rnacentral:rRNA from 1 species